AGCGAACGCUGGCGGCAGGCCUAACACAUGCAAGUCGAACGGGCGUCUUCGGAUGUCAGUUGCAUACGGGUGAGUAACAAGUGGGAACGUACACUUCGGUUCGCAAUCUCUAAGGGAAACAUGAGCUCAUACCGGAUACGCCCUUUUGGGGUAAGGUUUACUGCCGCAGGAUCGGCCCGCGUCGGAUUAGCUUGCUGGUGGGGUUACGGCAUACCAAGGCGACGAUGCGUAUCUGGGCUGAGAGGAAGUGCCGCCACACUGGGACGAAGACGCGGUCAAGACUCCUACGGGAGGCGGCAGAGGGGAAUAGUGGACAAUGGGCGCAAGCAUGAUCGUGCCAGGCCGGUAAAGUGAUGUAGGCCUUAGGGUUGUAAAGCUCUUGUGUCCGGGACGAUAAUGACGGUACCGGAAGAAUAAGCCCCGGCUAACUUCGUG
rnacentral:rRNA from 1 species